AUGACAGCUAUGAGCCAAACUUGGGACGUUUGGUUUUUAGCAGGUGGAGAGACCGUCUGGGCAGCAGAAACAAGACAACUAAUCAUAGUUGAGUUGAGAUUAGUAUUAUUAACUUGACUAGUUUGGUUGUAGACUUCUUCAAUACUUAACAAUUUGUAUAAGUUACAAGAUCAAUGGUCCUGCUAUCAAUGUUUUUGUAACUUAAAUUCAUUACAGUUUAGAUACAAUCAAAUGUCCAAACCAUCUCUGACUGAAUGACAUCAAGGAAACAGGAUCAAAAGAUCAUUUAUUAUAGGCCGUUUCAUAGUUGGUUAUAUUUUUUAGGUUCUCCUGAUCAUUCUGUUCUCCUGGUUGUGAGGAUGUGCAGAGGCUGUAUUUGUCAGUGUUAAAAGACUUGUGCAGGUGUAUCCAGACAUACAAGCAGCCGACAAAGAGUUCUGGAGCAGGACAGACAGGGCCGCACGGUGGCGCAGAGGGUAGCACGUUUGCCUCACAGCAAGAAGGUUG